ACCAGAAAAGACGCACGUGACGUCAUGUUUACAUGAUUCCCGAUUGUUAAAAUGAGUAACAAAUUAAACAUAAACUUUAACUACAGAGACACACGUACGCACUACACAGGUACGGACCACAGCCAUGUUCCUGUAAUGGUAAUAUUCCUAACGCAGAGAUGCCUUAUCCACAGAUGAAUAUGAUGGGCCCCCCAACCCCAUUCCAGGAUGGCAUGCCUUCCUAUUCAACUAAAGUUGAAUAAAAUGUUUUGUAUGCUGAAGAAGUCAAAUAUUAAUAAUCUCAUCAACAUUAUUCAAUCGUAUAGCAAUCAUUAUUUCUUAAUAAAUGUUUCUUUC